rnacentral:rRNA from 1 species
UAAGGAAUAUUGGUCAAUGGAGGCAACUCUGAACCAGCCAUGCCGCGUGCAGGAUGACGGCCCUAUGGGUUGUAAACUGCUUUUGUACCAGAGAAAACCUACUCACGUGUGAGUAGCUGAUAGUAUGGUAAGAAUAAGCAUCGGCUAACUUCGUGCCAGCAGCCGCGGUAAGACGAAGGAUGCAAGCGUUAUCCGGAUUCAUUGGGUUUAAAGGGUGCGUAGGCGGACUUGUAAGUCAGUGGUGAAAUCUCUUUGCUUAACAAAGAAACUGCCAUUGAUACUGCAGGUCUAGAGUAUAGAUGACGUUGGCGGAAUAUGACAUGUAGUGGUGAAAUACUUAGAUAUGUCAUAGAACACCGAUUGCGAAGGCAGCUAACGAAACUAUAACUGACGCUGAGGCACGAAAGUGCGGGGAUCAAACA